UACGUAGGGUGCGAGCGUUGUCCGGAUUUAUUGGGCGUAAAGAGCUCGUAGGCGGUUUGUCGCGUCGGCCGUGAAAUCUCCACGCUUAACGUGGAGCGUGCGGUCGAUACGGGCAGACUUGAGUUCGGUAGGGGAGACUGGAAUUCCUGGUGUAGCGGUGAAAUGACGCAGACUAUCAGGAGGAACACCGGUGGGCGAAGGCGGGGUCUCUGGGCCGAUACUGACGCUGAGGAGCGAAAGCGUGGGGAGCGAACAGG
rnacentral:rRNA from 1 species